rnacentral:rRNA from 1 species
CGUGUCGUGAGAUGUUGGGUUAAGUCCCGCAACGAGCGCAACCCUCGCCUUUAGUUGCCAGCACGUUUGGGUGGGCACUCUAGAGGAACUGCCGGUGACAAGCCGGAGGAAGGUGGGGAUGACGUCAAGUCCUCAUGGCCCUUAUGUCCUGGGCUACACACGUGCUACAAUGGCGGUGACAGUGGGAAGCCAGGCAGCGAUGCCGAGCUGAUCCUGAAAAGCCGUCUCAGUUCGGAUUGCACUCUGCAACUCGGGUGCAUGAAGGUGGAAUCGCUAGUAAUCGCGGAUCAGCAUGCCGCGGUGAAUACGUUCCCGGGCCUU